rnacentral:rRNA from 1 species
GACGAACGCUGGCGGCGUGCUUAACACAUGCAAGUCGAACGGAAAGGCCCUGCUUUUGUGGGGUGCUCGAGUGGCGAACGGGUGAGUAACACGUGAGUAACCUGCCCUUGACUUUGGGAUAACUUCAGGAAACUGGGGCUAAUACCGGAUAGGAGCUCCUGCUGCAUGGUGGGGAUUGGAAAGUUUCGGCGGUUGGGGAUGGACUCGCGGCUUAUCAGCUUGUUGGUGGGGUAGUGGCUUACCAAGGCUUUGACGGGUAGCCGGCCUGAGAGGGUGACCGGCCACAUUGGGACUGAGAUACGGCCCAGACUCCUACGGGAGGCAGCAGUGGGGAAUAUUGCACAAUGGGCGGAAGCCUGAUGCAGCAACGCCGCGUGCGGGAUGACGGCCUUCGGGUUGUAAACCGCUUUCGCCUGUGACGAAGCGUGAGUGACGGUAAUGGGUAAAGAAGCACCGGCUAACUACGUG